AUCAUGGCUCAGAUUGAACGCUGGCGGCAGGCCUAACACAUGCAAGUCGAACGGUAACAGGAACAGCUUGCUGUUCGCUGACGAGUGGCGGACGGGUGAGUAGUGUCUGGGAAACUGCCUGAUGGAGGGGGAUAACUACUGGAAACGGUAGCUAAUACCGCAUAACGUCGCAAGACCAAAGAGGGGGACCUUCGGGCCUCUUGCCAUCGGAUGUGCCCAGAUGGGAUUAGCUAGUAGGUGGGGUAACGGCUCACCUAGGCGACGAUCCCUAGCUGGUCUGAGAGGAUGACCAGCCACACUGGAACUGAGACACGGUCCAGACUCCUACGGGAGGCAGCAGUGGGGAAUAUUGCACAAUGGGCGCAAGCCUGAUGCAGCCAUGCCGCGUGUAUGAAGAAGGCCUUCGGGUUGUAAAGUACUUUCAGCGGGGAGGAAGGGAGUAAAGUUAAUACCUUUGCUCAUUGACGUUACCCGCAGAAGAAGCACCGGCUAACUCCGUGCCAGCCGCCGC
rnacentral:rRNA from 1 species